rnacentral:rRNA from 1 species
UACGGAGGGUGCAAGCGUUAAUCGGAAUUACUGGGCGUAAGGCGUGCGUAGGUGGUUCGUUAAGUCCGUUGUGAAAGCCCCGAGCUCAACUUGGGAAUUGCAGCGGAUACUGGCGAGCUGGAGUGCGGUAGAGGAAGGUGGAAUUCCCGGUGUAGCGGUGAAAUGCGUAGAGAUCGGGAGGAACACCAGUGGCGAAGGCGGCCUUCUGGACCAGCACUGACACUCAAGCACGAAAGCGUGGGGAGCAAACAGG